rnacentral:rRNA from 1 species
UAGAGGAAGUAAAAGUCGUAACAAGGUUUCCGUAGGUGAACCUGCGGAAGGAUCAUUAUUGAAUAAACCUGAUGGACUGUUAGCUGGCUUUUCGAAGCAUGUGCUCGUCUGUCAUCUUUAUCUCUCCACCUGUGCACAUUUUGUAGUCUUGGAUACCUCUCGAGGCAACUCGGAUUUUAGGAUCGCCGUGCUGUACAAGUUGGCUUUUCUUUCAUUUCCAAGACUAUGUUUUUAUAUACACCAAAGUAUGUUUAAAGAAUGUCAUCAAUAGGAACUUGUUUCCUAUAAAAUUAUACAACUUUCAGCAACGGAUCUCUUGGCUCUCGCAUCGAUGAAGAACGCAGCGAAAUGCGAUAAGUAAUGUGAAUUGCAGAAUUCAGUGAAUCAUCGAAUCUUUGAACGCACCUUGCGCUCCUUGGUAUUCCGAGGAGCAUGCCUGUUUGAGUGUCAUUAAAUUCUCAACCUUCCAACUUUUAUUAGCUUGGUUAGGCUUGGAUGUGGGGGUUGUGGGCUUCAUUAAUGAGGUCGGCUCUCCUUAAAUGCAUUAGCGGAACUUUUGUGGACCGUCUAUUGGUGUGAUAAUUAUCUACGCCGUGGAUGUGAAGCAGCUUUAUGAAGUUCUGCUUCUAACCGUCCAUUGACUUGGACAAUUUUGACAAUUUGACCUCAAAUCAGGUAGGACUACCCGCUGAACUUAAGCAUAUCAAUAA